GGGUACUCGAGUGGCGAACGGGUGAGUAACACGUGGGUGAUCUGCCCUGCACUUUGGGAUAAGCCUGGGAAACUGGGUCUAAUACCGAAUAGGACUCCGGACUGCAUGGUCUGGGGUGGAAAGCUUUUGCGGUGUGGGAUGGGCCCGCGGCCUAUCAGCUUGUUGGUGGGGUGAUGGCCUACCAAGGCGACGACGGGUAGCCGGCCUGAGAGGGUGUCCGGCCACACUGGGACUGAGAUACGGCCCAGACUCCUACGGGAGGCAGCAGUGGGGAAUAUUGCACAAUGGGCGCAAGCCUGAUGCAGCGACGCCGCGUGAGGGAUGACGGCCUUCGGGUUGUAAACCUCUUUCGCCAGGGACGAAGCGCAAGUGACGGUACCUGGAGAAGAAGCACCGGCCAACUACGUGCCAGCAGCCGCGGUAAUACGUAGGGUGCGAGCGUUGUCCGGAAUUACUGGGCGUAAAGAGCUCGUAGGUGGUUUGUCGCGUUGUUCGUGAAAACUCACAGCUUAACUGUGGGCGUGCGGGCGAUACGGGCAGACUGGAGUACUGCAGGGGAGACUGGAAUUCCUGGUGUAGCGGUGGAAUGCGCAGAUAUCAGGAGGAACACCGGUGGCGAAGGCGGGUCUCUGGGCAGUAACUGACGCUGAGGAGCGAAAGCGUGGGGAGCGAACAGGAUUAGAUACCCUGGUAGUCCACG
rnacentral:rRNA from 1 species